rnacentral:rRNA from 1 species
UGGGGAAUAUUGCGCAAUGGGCGAAAGCCUGACGCAGCGACGCCGCGUGCGGGAUGACGGCCUUCGGGUUGUAAACCGCUGUCGGGGGGGACGAAGAUCUGACGGUACCCCCAAAGGAAGCACCGGCUAACUCUGUGCCAGCAGCCGCGGUAAUACAGAGGGUGCGAGCGUUGUCCGGAAUUACUGGGCGUAAAGGGCGCGUAGGCGGUUCGGUAAGUAGGGGGUGAAAUUCCACGGCUCAACCGUGGACCUGCCUUCUAGACUGUCGGACUUGAGCACGGUAGAGGCAGAUGGAAUUCCCGGUGUAGCGGUGGAAUGCGUAGAGAUCGGGAAGAACACCAGUGGCGAAGGCGGUCUGCUGGGCCGUUGCUGACGCUGAGGCGCGAUAGCGUGGGGAGCAAACAG